AAAAAACCUGAGGAGCUGCUGGUCAUGUACAAGGGGGUGCUAUACCCUAGUGGGAUGUGUUCCCCUGAGACCUUCCAAGCAUUGGACAUCAUGGAAGUUAGAAAAGAUGAUGUGUUCCUAGUUGCUUAUCCUAAAUGCGGAACAAAUUGGGUUCGACACAUUUUAAAUGACUUGACAUCUGCAGUUUCAAAGAAUAAGGAGGAGGUACCACCAACAGAGCAUAUUCAAAUGCUUGAAUUUGGAGUGCCAGAAAAAUUUCAG